CCUGAAAGCAUUGUGAACCUUGUAAAGAACACAAUGUCUAAGACCUGUUCUAUCUCUAAGAUCUCCCUGACUAUCCCCUCCUCUGUGGUCCAGGAGAUGGGUAUUGUAAAAAUAAACCUGAAUGACCCCAGCUGCACGGCCCGUGAUAACGGGACGCACUUCGUAGUGUCCUCCCACAGCACAGCGUGUGGGUCAACGGCAAUGACCUACGGUGAAGCACCGCUUUACAAGAACAAUCUUUUCCUUCAUGUUCAGGGAUUAGAAGACGAGAUCAGGAUUCCGUAUUUGUGUAAGUUCCGACCUGGUAUACCUGGUAUAUCCCGGGUAGUUGAGGAGGAGAAGGAGAAGGUAGAGGUUGAGGAGGAAGAGGAGGAGGAGAGGGAACCUGACCUGGACAACAUAGAGUCCGGAGAUGAGAUGUAUGGGAUCGAGGUUGAGCUAAUCCAGGCUGGAACUCCGACUCAGCUGAUCAAAUCUAAACUGGACUCGGCUCCGGUUGCCCUUCAUGACCAGCUUUACGUUCAAAGUCAUAUAAACGCUGUACGUUAUCUUGCCCUGGCUAUAGAGCAGUGCUGGCUCUCCAGUAGUCCAAGGGUAUCCUCACACGCCGGACAAUCUGACCUCAAGCUAGUAAUGGCAGGCUGCCCGGCCCACCCAGAGGUCACUAUGCAUUGGGACAAAUCGUCGGCCAAUGCCGCCUUUUCUUUUAAGAUCAGCGAGGAUAUGUCAGCACUAGGAAAGGUUUGGUUACAGUGUAGAAUGGGAUUAUGCUCUGCUACUAGUGCUGGAGCACAGGGGAAUAUAUUCAGGUGCGAGGAUCCCGCAGUAUCCUGCAGUGCUAGUAGGACUCACAGAGAGUCAAGUAUCCAGCAGGUUACUGUCCGCGGUCCUCUACAGAUACUCCCGGUCACCAGAGAUGUUAUCGGUCAGAUCAAACCUGCCGCAGAUCCCAUCCUUCAUGAGCCUACCCUAGAUCAGGUUGAGGAGGAGCAGGAUGGGGCUCACGCACCACAGUCAACCCUAGUUGGGGUGACAGUAGAGGUGGCUGUAGCAAUAUCUUUAGCUUCCUUCCUGGUGGGAGCAAGCUCGACCGGGGUUCUCUGGUUUAUUCAUAGUAAAGCAGAGAAAGUGAAAACGAUUCAGUUGAGACGGAUCGAGGGCACGGAGCUGAAACGUGUAGAUGGAUCCCAGCAGAGACGAGACGAAGAAUCUGAUCCAGUCCGAGCUAAUUUUAUCCACCUUGAUUUACAGAACCAACCUAGAGUGCUAAGUACACACUGCCAAUCUGUUCCAAGCUCCUCCGAUGCAAACGGAAACUGCUCAGGAUGUCCUUUGUUGAGCUAAGAAGAUAGAACUCAUUUUCCGGAGCUGAAAUCUUCUCAGCCGAAGAUUCUUUUCAGAGAAUCUUUAUCAGAAUUCCCUUUGUUUAGGGAUCUCUUCCAGGGUUUCGUUGACAUGAGGGGGUCGCUUAGCUAGCCCCCUCUAAUCUUGCAGGGUUUCAUCUCACCAUUCACCGACAGGGUUUAAGAUAAGAAGAAAACUGUAACAACAACAACACGGGUCAAAGCAGCCAAGCUGCAUUAUAUAUAUAUAUAUAAAUAUACUUCGUAUACAUGUAGGCUCAAUUAUGUAACCUAUUUCUACUACUUCAUCACUAAACGCUUUUCUACCAAUAGUUGGACACUUGUCCUUUUACCUCGAACCUGGUGAAACCUCGAGUCUUUUCCCGUAGAAUACACCAGGAAUAGAAGAAAACACAACACUGGGCAUUGGAGGGAGAACUCACACAAAUAAUAUAAAAAUUCCAUAUUUAAAUACUUUACACAGAGUUACUCAUAAAGGAUAUAUUGAUAUCCUGAAACUUGAAUUUAGUAUCCUGCCUGAAAUAUUUUAUUUUUAGUGGUAUAUUAAAUAAUUAGGCAUUGUAAGUAAAUAGUUUACAUCUGAAAACCGUAAAUGUAAGGGGGGAAAAUAUCUACAGUCGGUUCUGAUGUCAUACAAUAUAGACAAAAAAAAACUUUAAGCAAGUUUAUUAUUAAGCAAUUCUUUUUAACCGCAUGGGGGAGGGGUUGUGAAUAUAGACAAAAAAUAUAGCGUUUAAAAUUUUCUAAGGAGCUUUAGGGUUUAAAUAAGGAUCAAGAAAUGAGAUUGGGUACCGUACCGAGAACAUAUAAGAAAUUGAAAUAGGUAUUAACAAAAUUUAAAAAUAGAAGAUGUUGAUCGUUGGUAAAGGGGCUUUUGGGUCAUUAUAAGUAGACCAGUUUUACGGUUCAAGCAAUUUUAUAAAAUACAAUUCCAGUAUUUUUAUUUUUCUAUUCCUGCUGUGUUCGGCGCCAUUUGCUUAACCAUCACUAGAGAAAUUAAAGAUUAUCCAUGUAAAACUUAUGUAUUGUUAUGAGUCUAGUUAUUUUUUCUGGUUUUUCUUCUUUAGAAGAUAUAAAGAUAUCCAUCAUUUUAUUUAGUAUGUGUAGCGCCGUGUAUCAAAAAAUUGCGUAUUAUUAAGAAUAAUUUUAUAAACUAAACAGAUAUUUUUAAAUAGAUUUUUUAAGCAACA
rnacentral:misc_RNA from 1 species